rnacentral:rRNA from 1 species
UAAUACGGGGGGAGCAAGCGUUGUUCGGAUUUACUGGGCGUAAAGGGCGCGUAGGCGGCCAGCGCAAGUCAGUUGUGAAAUCUCCGGGCCUUACUCGGAAAGGUCAACUGAUACUGCGCGGCUAGAGUGCAGAAGGGGCAACUGGAAUUCUCGGUGUAGCGGUGAAAUGCGUAGAUAUCGAGAGGAACACCUGCGGCGAAGGCGGGUUGCUGGGCUGACACUGACGCUGAGGCGCGAAAGCCAGGGGAGCGAACGGGAUUAGAUACCCCGGUAGUCCUGGCCUUAAACGAUGGAUGCUUGGUGUCUGGAGUUCUAUAGUCUCCGGGUGCCGUAGCUAACGCGUUAAGCAUCCCGCCUGGGGAGUACGGUCGCAAGACU